GAUGGCCCUCUGGAAUUUAAUUGCAUGGUGGGCUCUUUUCUUUUGAAUUUAUUCCAACUGUCCCUUUUUGUGCUUUCUUCUGUAGAGGACAGUCCAGUUUAUCUGCUGAAAAUUCCUCUUAGAAAGGAAUGCCGACUCACAUUUUGCAUUAAGAAAUUGGAAAAUCUUCCUGUUAGUCCUGACUGUCUCUUACACACAUCUC